rnacentral:misc_RNA from 1 species
AUGGCUUCGUCAACUAAGAGAUCCUGGAAAUUGCAAGACUUUGUGGCACACACGUCAAACGUCAACUGCCUAGCCCUAGGGCAUAAAUCUGGUCGCGUUUUAGUUACUGGUGGUGACGAUAGAAAAGUAAACUUAUGGGCUGUUGGGAAGCACAAUUGUAUUAUGAGCCUUAGCGGACACGCAACUGCGAUAGAAUGUGUUCGUUUUGGUCAAACCGAGGACCUAGUUUGUGCUGGUUCACAAACUGGAGUACUGAAAAUCUGGGACCUGGAACACGCCAAACUAGCGCGGACUCUGACAGGGCAUGGAAAUGGUAUUAGAUGCAUGGAUUUUCAUCCCUAUGGAGAAUUACUUACCUCUGGAAGUCUGGACAAGGCAAUAAAGCUUUGGGACAUGCGAAGGAAAGGCUGUAUUUUCACAUACAAGGGUCACACUGAUACGGUGAAUAGUUUGAAAUUCAGCCCUGAUGGUCAGUGGAUAGCCAGUGCUGGAGCGGAAGGAAAAGUUAAGCUUUGGGAUCUGAGAGCAGGAAAGCAAUUAAGAGAGUUCUCAGAGCACAGGGGGCCAGUGACAACGGUGGAAUUUCAUCCUCAUGAAUUUCUACUGGCCAGUGGGAGCACGGAUCGUACCGUUCAUUUUUGGGACUUGGAAUCUUUUCAAUUAGUCUCAUCGACGGAGCAAGCUCAAUCUGCAGCUAUCAGAAGUUUAUACUUCAGUCAAGGUGGCGAGUGUCUCUUUGCCGGUAGCCAGGAUGUUUUAAAGAUUUAUGGCUGGGAGCCAACGCGAACACUUGACACCAUACCUACCGGUUGGGGAAAAGUCCACGACAUAGCUGUUGCACAAAAUCAGUUGAUUGGAGCAUCUUUCAAUCUCGCAAAUGUUGUUUUAUACGUUUGCGAUUUGAAAAAAGUGGCACCAUUUGGCGGAAUUCCUUCACCAGGUUCACCUUUCAAUCAUGGUAACUCCUUGAGAAAGAGUUUUUCCAAAGAAAGGCCUCCGGAAUUGAAGAAACAUAAAUUAGAUGUUAAAACGAUAGAGGAAGCCGAUAAGUCUGGUACAGAUCCUGAAGAUGAUGUUAUGAUAGCUGAAAUACCGAGUGUCACAGAUUACAGAGAUGUGUUCCAGCCAAACAGAUCUUUAUCUCGCACACCACCCCCCGAACUCGAAGCUUUUCCGGAACCUGAAGAAAUGGAUCCAACACAGCCUCAAAUACUUCAGACUUUAUCAACGUCGUUGUCAAAUUUGAGUACAAAUGAAUUAGACGAAGAACCACCUCCGAUAAUGAAGCCAGUGCCAGUUCGUGUCCAUCCAAUAAAAUCUUCUCCUCCCGUUCAACGGAAUUUAAUAACUUCUACGAGUCAAAUCAGGGCAAAUCUUCAGGCAAACAAUGCAAACAGAAAUUCUAGAAACAUUUCCACGAUUCCUCCGCUCAGGCAAAGUAUUACCCCUCUUCUUGGUAAGAAAAAUCUGGGGAGCCAACCGCUCGGCCCUCAAAGAUCAAACUCUACUCUUACCCCAAGAGUUGCUCCAAUGGCUGCCAUAUCUCCUGUCAUGGAUGACGGCAAAUUGAAGAGUAGGGCGCCUAGCCCAGACUCGCCUAAACAUUGCCUCAAACGCCAGAGUAGUUGUAAAGAAGGAGAACAAGGCUACGAAAGCGAUUAUCCUAUACAAAUAAACAACAUCAGACACAGUCCCUCUGAUCCAGCUUUGAAUCGACCAAACACCGCGCAGUCCAGGUCGACUUCAUUGCAGAGGAAUUUUUCCUCUUCCACACCUCUGUCAGCCCGGAAUGUUGCAAAAAAACAGAACAAAGCUCAAAUACAACCGAACGUAAAGGUCGAUAUAAGAGUAGCACAGCUCAGACAACCAGCGGAAGAAAAGGUUAAAGACGAAUUCGUUCCAAUGAUUGCCGACAAACCGAGCGGGUUGGAUAUGGAUGAAUUUUUACCAAACAGUUACCAGGGACGUGCUCUGGGUUAUUCGCAACUAGGCGUUCUGCCGGAGAUGUCAGAGGCUGAAGUACUGAACAGUAUGAUGCGGGGCUACGAGUCUAUGAUGACAGUACUUAAUAGUCGACAUCGUUCUCUGCAAAUAGUCUAUUCGUUAUGGCACAGUAAAGACCUCAAGGCGGCGGUAGAUUCAGCGGUGGCUAUGAACGAUUUGUCCGUUAUAGUCGAUCUUCUAGGAGUCAUUACGCUCAAACCAACAAUUUGGAACUUGGAUCUCUGCAAUUCCUUGCUCACAUCUAUUGGUGACUUACUUCAAAGCAAAUACGAAAUGUACGUGUCGGUCGGAUGUACAGCCCUGAGAUUAAUCUUACGUAAUUUUUCACCUGUAAUAAAAUCGAACGUUCAAGCACCUCUGCAUACGAUCGGAGUCGAUGUAUCUCGAGAAGAAAGGUACCACAAGUGCGUAUCCUGUUAUGAGAAGUUGAUGUUGGUGAGAUCCUUUCUAUUGACGAAGCAGAACAUGCCUGGAAAAAUAGGGACGACGUUCAGAGAACUUGGGGCUCUCAUGCAAGCCCUCGAGUAAAAAAGUCAUGGUGAUCUCUUUGUCCCUUCACAGGCUAAUUACCCUCAACGACUCGUCGAAAACUUGCUAAUAUUAUCACGGACCAGGUGCGGCGACCGAAAAAAUCAUCUGUGAUGUUCAAGAGAAGUAUCGAUAUUCGAUAUUCGAAGAUUGAGGAGACAUAUUGGAAGAAUUAAAACUAAAAAAAAACCACCAACAAAUAAAGCAAACAACAAACAGACUGUUGAUUUCAUGGUAUACGGGCCAAUUCAAAUAGCGUACAAUUACGAGGUAAGAAUUUAUUUAGGGUACAGAAUUGACCCAAAUUUGAUGAAGAGGUUUUAGUUAAGAUGCUUAGUUGAAAUUUUUUUUAAUAAUCUUAAUAUACCUUGGGUUAAAGGGAUUUUAAAUUCCAUAUGUGUUUCCACAUUUCUUUCCGUUUUAACUUAGUCUGAAUGAUCAUAUGAAUUCAACAAACCGAGCUUACUCAAAAUAUAUUGUAAAUAGACAUGUUUUUUUUUUUUUUUUUAAUUUUUUUUUUGUUUAUCAAAUAGCGUAUAAGUGAAAUCGUAUUUUUGCAAUGCAGUGUUCGUACGUCCGGUUUAUACAAAUUAUUAUCAAGUAUUAAAACGAAAAUAAUAAUAAUAAUAAUAAUAAUAACAACAACAACAACAACAACAAUCUGUAAUUACGAGUACUCUGUAGUAUAGUAAGAAUUUAGACCUCAAAUUAGUAAAAUUAAAAAAAGUAAAAAAGUAAAACAAAAAAAUACUCCAAGAGUAUAAAAUUGAUGUGAGAGAAUUUGAAAUUCGCGUCUCUUCGGAACCUUGUUGGUACAUGGUACAGCAUUGAAUAGCUCAUAAUUGAUUUUAGGUUUUCCCCUAAUAGAAAUUGACACGUUCUUUCGAUUCUCUUAUAUCUGGCCGAAACGGAGUCUAAGAAGAAAAAAAAAUGAAAAAAAAAAUAAUUAAUGCACGCUGUGAAUUUGCUUAUUGAUCACGUACACAUGUAUAGUAUGCAGAUACAUGUCAUAUACCCGAGCAAGAAUAUUGGAGGAAGUUUGCUCGUUAUAUAUCAGUUUUACGAUGUCUUUUUAAAAAAGGUACAAAUACUUAUGGAUGACUUAGAUACCCGUUGCGAGUAUAAUAGCUCUCUCUCACUCUCAUUUUACACGAAAUUGAAACCAAGAAAAAGCAAAAAAAAAAAAAAUAUUUAUGUAGAAAAAACAUGAAAAAAACAAACAAAACAAGAUGAAAAAAUGACUUCGGGCUCCGUCCAAUGUAUUUUUGUAAGCGAGAAUGUUUUAUAAGACUUUUAUAUGAUGGAAUGUCGAUAGGUUCCGUAAUAAUCUUGUGUGUAUUUACAGUAUCCACAGGGUGUCAAAAAUUCCCACAUCCCAUGCGCCCGUCUUCAGAGUCCUUUUCCCAGAGAAAUCGAAAGGAUUGUUCCCAGAUACAAUUCACGACAUUUCUACUCCACGCUGUUCCUCCUACAUAUCCGUGAGUUGAAUUCUUUUAACAAUUUCUUCAUCGUUCUUUGACUUUUCAACCGAUAUUACCCGCCUUUUACUCGUUAUUCCAUAAUCUUCCUCCGAUCGAAACCAGCGAAUGAUAAUUUUUGUCAUACGCAUUCAUCAAAUUUACGGAGUUUUAAUUAGUUGCAAAUAUUUGUACGUGUGGUCGUAUUGUUGAAGAGGAAAAAGAAAAUAGAAUAAUGGAAAAAAAUCAAUAUUCACGCCCACGCACUCAUAUAAUUAUACGUGUAAGAUAUUCGUGCAUGUGAAAAAUAAUAAUUUAUGAGUAAACUUGUUGAUAUUCGUUGUAAAAGAAUCAUACUGGCACGCGCGUUGACAGACGUAUCUAUAUAGUGCUGAGAAACAUUCUCUUUCCGUUUCUUUUUUUUGUUUGUUUGUUGUUUUUUCGUUUCAACUCUGUCUUAGAUAAUUAUUCAUGUGCAAAUUGAAGAUUCUCUUUCUCUAUAAUUUAAAAUCGGUGCCUUUUAUCGCGCUUUUUUGUUUGUAUAGAAGGUUGCGAUGUGCGUUACCUCGAGACAUGAUUAAAACAUACAAAAAGAUAAGAAUAAAUAAAUAAAUAAUUCAAUAAUAUAAAAAAAUCCUAACAAAACAUAACGUAACCAUUUUUAAUAACGAUUAUCACGAUGAUAGCAAUGAUAAUGAUAAUAGUAAUAACAAUUACGAUGAUGAUAAUGAUAGUGAUAACAUAGUUCUACGAGCUUGCCAGUUUUAACAGUAUCGAUAUUUAUAAUACCUAUACAUUUUUAUCGUAUCACGAACAUCUUCUGACAAUAUGAUUUUGAAUGUUUUUUCUUUUUUUUUGGUUUGCUUGUACCGUGAUUGAUAGAAGAGAAAAAAAAUAGAAAGAAAGAAAAAGGACUGGACUUAGAUCUAUUGUAAUUUUUAUUAUAUAUAUCCUCUGUUUCCAGAGGUAUAUAUGUGAAGUCAUAUAAUAAUAUCUGUCUAAUGAACGUGUAAACUUAAUCAUUUCGAAUUCGUGUCAUAUACAGUUUAUGGUAUGUAGCUAAGAUUACGAGAUCGAAAACUGAUGCUUCUUAAUAAUUAUUAAUAUAAUAUAAAUAUAUAUACAUAAAUUACCUUUCCUGAUUGUGAUAAGUUUGAAUUUUUCUCGUAGUUAUUUUUUUUUUUUUGUUUUUUUCUUGUUUUUCUCUCCCCUAAUAAUUUUAUGCUGUUAAUUCGUUGUUAUUGUACUAUAGUUAUAUAAAUAAUUAUUACCGGAAGUGAAGGAUUUUUGUGUUAAUCGCUAUUUUAAUGUGAUGAAUGAAAAUUGGAUAAGAAGGAGAAUAAAAAAACCAACGUUGAUUCUUAAA